AAGAUCUUAUGUUAAUUAAACAAAUAGCCUUCAAAGCCAUAAUUAAAAGUAUUAAUCUUUUAGGUCUUA
rnacentral:tRNA from 1 species